rnacentral:sRNA from 1 species
AGUAAUAGUAGCUGCUCUUUGUUGCGUGCCUCACACAUCUUAGAUAUUUUACACACCAAAUAUAACAACUAUUUUAAGAGGAACAAAAAUUGAACACUUUGCAAAAAUUGGAUGGAAAAAUCAUAAACAUUCAGUUAAUAACCCGUAUUCCCAGUUCCAAGAUGAAUACAGUUUAGAUGAAGUGAUGGCAUCUAAAGAAGUUUUUGAUUUUUUGACUAUCUUACAAUGUUGUCCCACUUCAGAUGGUGCUGCAGCAGCAAUUUUGGCCAGUGAAGCAUUUGUACACAAGUAUGGCCUGCAAUCCAAAGCUGUGGAAAUUUUGGCACAAGAAAUGAUGACUGAUUUGCCAAGCUCGUUUGAAGAAAAAAGCAUUAUUAAAGUGGUUGGCUUUGAUAUGAGUAAAGAAGCUGCAAGAAAAUGCUAUGAGAAAUCUGGCCUGACACCAAAUGAUAUUGACGUAAUAGAACUUCACGAUUGCUUUUCUACCAACGAACUCCUUACUUAUGAAGCAUUGGGACUCUGUCCAGAAGGACAAGGUGCAACGCUGGUUGAUAGAGGAGAUAAUACAUAUGGAGGAAAGUG